GCUGCAGAGAUGUGGCCCCCCUUGUGGUCGGUAUACAGGUGGUGCAUGGCUGUCGUCAGCUCGUGUCGUGAGAUGUUGGGUUAAGUCCCGCAACGAGCGCAACCCUUGUCUUAUGUUGCCAGCACGUAAUGGUGGGGACUCGUAAGAGACUGCCGGGGUCAACUCGGAGGAAGGUGGGGACGACGUCAAGUCAUCAUGCCCCUUAUGUCCAGGGCUUCACACAUGCUACAAUGGCCGGUACAGAGGGCUGCGAUACCGUGAGGUGGAGCGAAUCCCUUAAAGCCGGUCUCAGUUCGGAUCGGGGUCUGCAACUCGACCCCGUGAAGUCGGAGUCGCUAGUAAUCGCAGAUCAGCAACGCUGCGGUGAAUACGUUCCCGGGCCUUGUACACCCCGCCCGUCACGUCAUGAAAGUCGGUAACACCCGAAGCCGGUGGCCCAGCCCUUGUGGAGGGAGCCGUCGAAGGUGGGAUCGGCGAUUGGGACGAAGUCGUAACAAGGUAGCA
rnacentral:rRNA from 1 species